GACGAACGCUGGCGGCGUGCUUAACACAUGCAAGUCGAACGGAAAGGCCCUGCUUUUGUGGGGUGCUCGAGUGGCGAACGGGUGAGUAACACGUGAGCAACCUGCCCUUGACUUUGGGAUAACUUCAGGAAACUGGGGCUAAUACCGGGUAGGAGCUCCUGCUGCAUGGUGGGGGUUGGAAAGUUUCGGCGGUUGGGGAUGGACUCGCGGCUUAUCAGCUUGUUGGUGGGGUAGUGGCUUACCAAGGCUUUGACGGGUAGCCGGCCUGAGAGGGUGACCGGCCACAUUGGGACUGAGAUACGGCCCAGACUCCUACGGGAGGCAGCAGUGGGGAAUAUUGCACAAUGGGCGGAAGCCUGAUGCAGCAACGCCGCGUGCGGGAUGACGGCCUUCGGGUUGUAAACCGCUUUCGCCUGUGACGAAGCGUGAGUGACGGUAAUGGGUAAAGAAGCACCGGCUAACUACGUG
rnacentral:rRNA from 1 species